UACGUAGGGGGCAAGCGUUGUCCGGAAUCAUUGGGCGUAAAGAGCUCGUAGGCGGUUUGUCGCGUCUGCUGUGAAAACUCAGGGCUUAACCCUGAGCCUGCAGUGGGUACGGGCAGACUAGAGUGUGGUAGGGGAGAUCGGAAUUCCUGGUGUAGCGGUGGAAUGCGCAGAUAUCAGGAGGAACACCGGUGGCGAAGGCGGAUCUCUGGGCCAUAACUGACGCUGAGGAGCGAAAGCAUGGGGAGCGAACAGG
rnacentral:rRNA from 1 species